rnacentral:ncRNA from 1 species
AACACCCACUGGGGGAGUCGGUUAAACCGGCUGAGACGGACUGUUGUCCGGACCCUUUGAACCUGAUCUGGAUCAUACCAGCGUAGGGAAGUGGCCGUAUAUGCGA